GGAGAGGAAGAUGUGAUGAAGUGCUGGAAAAUCUACUCUGGGCGUGUGUGCUGUUUCCAGAUAGUAGGGCAUUAUGUUCCAGGAAAUAGUUCAUGAUUGCUAUCAGCUAAUAUCCCCUAGCUCUCCUAUUGCCUUUCUAAAGCUGCUGUUCCAUUCUCAGUGACAAGGAAUGGAUCUGCAACAAUGGAGUCCAUGCACACAGAAGAGGGCAAUAACAGUAGAGAGAAGAGUUCCUAGAUUCCAGCGUGUCCAGAUCUUGAGAGUUGCCAGUCACAUGACACUUGGUGUGUUGUUCAGUGGCCCACCUCUAGGCCUCUGUUUUCUUUUUUUUUUUCUUCUAUUUUUUUUUAAAGAAGAAUGUCAGGCCUUAUUUGAUGUCCAUGGGAUGGAGAGACACCCCUGUCCUGGAGACAUGUGGUUCUGGUUAGAGUCCAGGAAGACUGCCACUGGAAUGAGCAAAUAACUCACAGGCCUUUCUGCUGAGAGGUUGGGGAAAAAGCACUGGCAGAAUGAAGACUUGAGGUUCAAGAAAUAAAAGGAAAG
rnacentral:lncRNA from 1 species